rnacentral:misc_RNA from 1 species
UUGUUUUUGUUACUAUAUAUUACAUUCAUUACAAAUAUGUUUUUGGUUUGUUGUUUGCGCCUCGGGACCCUCUCGGACCCUGGGACAAAACAGUUCACGGUGUGUGUGGGAUAGACACGGCCAUCGGGCCAAUCUCUAAUGAUCCUUCCGCAGGUUCACCUACGGAAA